CAAAAAACAAACUUUGUGGAACCCAGCUCUGGCAGCCCAGCCAAGGCAUGGAGAAGUCAUAAAAAGAGGCUAUCUUUAGCUCUUGUCAGAAUUAGAGAUGACACUUUGAGCACCACCUUAAAAGACACAAAAGAGGGAAGCAUGUUUGUUAGGGUGUGAGUUUUCUCUCCUCGCCUCUUGAAACUCAGUGUGUUGGCUGGUUGCCCGACAUGGUGCUGCAUACAAAUAUUGACAGAACACAGCGGUGUUUGUUAAACCCAGUCUGGGGAAGCCAGUGAUUAAAACUCUUGAAGGAAGAUCCAAGAACCCCAGGAAUUCUCCUGAAUAGCCUUAGAACAUUGAUGGAAUGAAAGAGAAAGCAAUGAGUGGGCUAAAGUGAAACAUUCAACGUCCCUGUCUGCUAUGCCUUUUCGGCAAGCAAGUAUAAACAGAAUCUCAAAAUACGGAGGCACCCAUGAACUGGCUACUCAAAUAGAAAAUGAAAAAAAAGGCCAUCAAAUGAGUGUGGGCUCUUCCAAAGUGACCACCUGUCUGCCCUGGGCUGAGAUCUGGCUCCAGUCUUGGAGGACUGCGGCUGCUGGAUGCUGAAAGGAAGAAGAAGGGAACAGAAAUACUUUUUGCAGUUGGAGCAGGCAGUGAGUCUCUUGAAGACACAACUUGGCUUUUCUAGCAAGUGAUCAGACAGACCCAUCAUACAUCAACAAAGUGUAGAGAAACCCUAUCCCUCCUAGUUUUGAGUGAAAUUUUCAGGAAUUUACAGUGGGAUGACAUUUCACAUUUAAAUCC
rnacentral:lncRNA from 1 species